CCAAAGUUGAUGUUCUUCACAUUAAAGAACAUCAACAACUAAAUCCUAUAACUCCAAUAAGCAUCCAUUCUAUCAAGGGCAAAGGGAUAAAAUCGGAUCAAAAGGCAAGGAUUGGAAUUGGUGGCGUGAAGAAGGCGAAAAACUAAAAAAAAUAUUUUGCUCACCAGUGACAAUCUCUUCCCUAUAGGUUGGUUUUUGUUUUAACCUCUCAAUAAUAAUUUAUGCAUGCUUAUAUGAAUAAAAUCGGAUCAAAAGACAAGGAUUGAAAUUGGUGGCGUGAAGAAGGCGAAAAGCUCAAAAGAAAUUAUUUUGCUCACAAGUGACAAUCUCUUCCCUAUAGGCAAGAGUUUUGUUUAUGUUCUUGUAGGCAAGAGUGGGCAUGGAUUGAAGGCUUGGACCUUUUGGCAAGAAAAAGCAAGAGUUAUAAAGAACAAGGCUAUGGAUAGUUUGGGAAUGAAGAAAAUGUUAUAACUAGGAUUAAGACUAGUAGAGUUGACUUUUGUCAACCGGUAGACAAAAAGUCAAUGGUUGACCAAAGUCAACUGUAGAUCAAAGUUGUGAUUUUUUAUAGGUUCUGGGCUUUUGUAUUUGUAAUGAACUUUAAAAAUUUGUAAUGCAAAUGGGUUCUUUAAUUGAAUGAAUUGUGUAGCUUAUGCAUUUUUCCCUUCA